rnacentral:rRNA from 1 species
UACGGAGGGGGCUAGCGUUGUUCGGAAUUACUGGGCGUAAAGCGCACGUAGGCGGCUUUGUAAGUUAGAGGUGAAAGCCCGGGGCUCAACCCCGGAAUUGCCUUUAAGACUGCAUCGCUUGAACGUCGGAGAGGUGAGUGGAAUUCCGAGUGUAGAGGUGAAAUUCGUAGAUAUUCGGAAGAACACCAGUGGCGAAGGCGGCUCACUGGACGACUGUUGACGCUGAGGGUACGAAAGCGUGGGGAGCA